rnacentral:misc_RNA from 1 species
AAGUCGUAACAAGGUUUCCGUAGGUGAACCUGCGGAAGGAUCAUUAACACGUAUCCAAACGUUAAAACCCCCCCCGUGAACCUUCAUCCUGCUCUUGUAACCCGCGUAGUUCGCAAUCUCUGAUAAAUCAUAGCCCGGAAAGUUGUAGUGAUUCAGAGACCUCUGGCUACGUGCGAACAUUGGAACAGUUACAAUCGAGCGGUAGUUCUAUAGGCAAUGUUUCUCCAAGCAGUCAGUGUCGGAAAGUCCUAAUAACCCCACAGUUUAAUGUGAAGCUCAAUGUAAUACAUUGGGUAAAAAAACCGAACAACUGUUAACAAUGGAUAUCUUGGUUCUC